rnacentral:rRNA from 1 species
AGCGAACGCUGGCGGCAGGCUUAACACAUGCAAGUAGAACGCAACGCAAGGGGAGUGGCAGACGGGUGAGUAACACGUGGGAACGUACCCUUUGGUUCGGAAUGCCUUGGGGAAACUCACGCUAAUACCGGAUAAGCCCUAACGGGGAAAGGUUUACUGCCGAAGGGUCGGCCCGCGUCUGAUUAGUUAGUUGGUGGGGUAAUGGCUAACCAAGGCGACGAUCAGGAGCUGGUCUGGGUGGAUGAUCAAGCACACUGGGAAUGAGACACGGCCCAGACCCCUACGGGAGGAAGCAGUGGGGAAUAAUUGACAAAGGGGGCAACCCUGAUCCAGCCAUGCCGCGUGAGUGAUUAAGGCCUUAGGGUUGUAAAGCUCUUUUACCCGGGACGAUAAUGACUGUACCGGGAGAAUAAGCCCCGGCUAACUUCGUGCCAGCCGCCGCUGUAA